UCGAGCGGAACGAUCCUAGCUUGCUAGGAGGCGUCGAGCGGCGGACGGGUGAGUAAUGCAUAGGAAUCUACCCAGUCGUGGGGGAUAACCUGAGGAAACUCAGGCUAAUACCGCAUACGUCCUACGGGAGAAAGCGGGGGCUCUUCGGACCUCGCGCGAUUGGAUGAGCCUAUGUCGGAUUAGCUUGUUGGUAAGGUAACGGCUUACCAAGGCGACGAUCCGUAGCUGGUCUGAGAGGAUGAUCAGCCACACCGGGACUGAGACACGGCCCGGACUCCUACGGGAGGCAGCAGUGGGGAAUAUUGGACAAUGGGCGAAAGCCUGAUCCAGCCAUGCCGCGUGUGUGAAGAAGGCUUUCGGGUUGUAAAGCACUUUCAGCGAGGAAGAAAGCGUGCCGGCCAAUACCCGGUACGGACGACAUCACUCGCAGAAGAAGCACCGGCUAACUCCGUGCCAGCAGCCGCGGUAAUACGGAGGGUGCAAGCGUUAAUCGGAAUUACUGGGCGUAAAGCGCGCGUAGGCGGCGUGUCACGCCGGGUGUGAAAGCCCCGGGCUCAACCUGGGAACGGCAUCCGGAACGGGCAGGCUAGAGUGCAGGAGAGGAAGGUAGAAUUCCCGGUGUAGCGGUGAAAUGCGUAGAGAUCGGGAGGAAUACCAGUGGCGAAGGCGGCCUUCUGGACUGACACUGACGCUGAGGUGCGAAAGCGUGGGUAGCAAACAGGAUUAGAUACCCUGGUAGUCCACGCCGUAAASGAUGUCGACUAGCCGUUGGGUCCCUUGAGGACUUAGUKGCGCAGUUAACGCGAUAAGUCGACCGCCUGGGGAGUACGRCCGCAAGGUUAAAACUCAAAUGAAUUGACGGGGGCCCGCACAARCGGUGGAGCAUGUGGUUUAAUACGAUGCAAAACGAAGCCCUUACGUACCCUUGACAUCCUGCGAACCCGGAAGAGAUUCCGGGGUGCCUUCGGGAGCGCAGAGACAGGUGCUCCAUGGCUGUCGUCAGCUCGGGUUGUGAAAUGUUGGGUUAAGUCCCGUAACGAGCGCAACCCUUGUCCCUAUUUGCCAGCGAUUCGGUCGGGAACUCUAGGGAGACUGCCGGUGACAAACCGGAGGAAGGUGGGGACGACGUCAAGUCAUCAUGACCCUUACGGGUAGGGCUACACACGUGCUACAAUGGCCGGUACAAAGGGUUGCGAAAGCGCGAGCUGAAGCUAAUCCCGAAAAGCCGGUCUCAGUCCGGAUCGGAGUCUGCAACUCGACUCCGCGAAGUCGGAAUCGCUAGUAAUCGUGCAUCAGAAUGGCACGGUGAAUACGUUCCCGGGCCUUGUACACACCCCCGUCACACCAUGGAAGUGGACUGCACCAGAAGUGGUUAGUUUAACCCUCG
rnacentral:rRNA from 1 species